rnacentral:rRNA from 1 species
GAAGCCUACGGGGGAGCAGUGGGGGAUAUUGCACAAUGGGGGGAACCCUGAUGCAGCGACGCCGCGUGGGUGAAGAAGCGCCUCGGCGCGUAAAGCCCUGUCAGCAGGGAAGAAAAUGACGGUACCUGAAGAAGAAGCCCCGGCUAACUACGUGCCAGCAGCCGCGGUAAUACGUAGGGGGCAAGCGUUAUCCGGAUUUACUGGGUGGAAAGGGGGCGCAGACGGCGAUGCAAGCCAGGAGUGAAAGACCGGGGCCCAACCCCGGGGCUGCUCUUGGACCUGCGUGGGUGG